rnacentral:rRNA from 1 species
UACGGAGGAUGCAAGCGUUAUCCGGAAUGAUUGGGCGUAAAGCGUCCGCAGGUGGCUGUGUAAGUCUGCUGUUAAAGAGCAAAGCUUAACUUUGUAAAAGCAGUGGAAACUACACAGCUAGAGUGCGUUCGGGGCAGAGGGAAUUCCUGGUGUAGCGGUGAAAUGCGUAGAGAUCAGGAAGAACACCGGUGGCGAAGGCGGCAUCCUGGACCGGCAUUGACGCUGAGGAGCGAAAGCUAGGGGAGCAAACGGG